AAAGGGGAUUAGGGUUAAGUGACCUUUAGAUUCUUCUCUUCUCCCUCUCACGGUCGUGAAGCAGCAACGGCGCCGCCGGGAAAAGCCUUUCUCCUCCAAUGGAACCUCUCAUCUAUCUCUGGUCUCCACGCGUUCUCAAUCUCUCUCUCUUCUCAAAUCCCAGGUUCUCUCUCGGUUCUCUCUGAUCAAUUGAAAUCACGCCUCAACAAGAACAGAACACGCUAAAAACGAAGGUCACCACUCAGUUGUUGAUACGUGGAUGAAGUUGAUGCGGGUUGAAGGUUCCUUCUGAGUUUGUGAAGACUUGAAGGAUCGAUCGAAGAAGAUGAAGAGGGGAUGCCGUUUUCUUUGAAGGUUUCAUUGAGUUGUUUGAUUCUGCAGUCUGAGAUUGAUCAUUUGACAGCCCUUAUGCAGUCAAGGACUGUAGAUGCACCUAUUAGGGGAGAAGAUGGAGAAACUUCAAAGUACUGUUGAUCUUGUUCAAAAUAGCUUGAACUUAGAGGUGAUCUAUGGGGAUACAGAUUCAAUAAUGAUUUACAGUGGGCUAGAUGAUAUUGCAAAAGCAACUUCAAUAGCUAAGAAAGUUAUUCAAGAGGUAAGGUUUGACUGUU